rnacentral:rRNA from 1 species
GACGAGUCGGUGUUUGGGAAAUGCAGCUCUAAGGGGUGGUAAAUUCCAUCUAAGGCUAAAUACUGGCGAGAGACCGAUAGCGAACAAGUACUGUGAAGGAAAKAUGAAAAGCACUUUGAAAAGAGAGUGAAACAGCACGUGAAUUGUUGAAAGGGAAGGGUAUUGGGCUCGACAUGGGGACUGCGCACCGUUGCUUCUUGUAGGCGGCGCUCUGUGCGGKUUCUGGGCCAGCAUCAGUUUUUGCCGCGGAGAAUGGGGGGAGGAACGUGGCUCUUCGGA